GCGGAUGUGGCGAAAUUGGUAGACGCGCUAGACUUAGGAUCUAGUGCCGUGAGGCUUGUGGGUUCGAGUCCCGUCAUCCGCA
rnacentral:tRNA from 1 species